rnacentral:lncRNA from 1 species
UUCCAGUUUCCAAGGAACUGCAAGGGCAAAAAAUAUACUUCUGAAAUAACAUAAACAAAAUUGAAGUAUACAACAUCUCUCUCUUACUCUCUAGACUAGAUCUCUCUCUCUCUCUCUCUCUCUCUCUCUCUCUUGAAUAGUAGUCUCCUCUUAUUUCUUUUUCAUUUUUCUGAUCACUUGUUUUGAUAGGAGGGUUGGGAUUAAUAUCCCAAGUUGAUAUGAUACUACAGUAACAGUAGUAGUCUAGGUUCUAUGCAGAGGAAUUAGAGGGGGUCUGCUCCUGCUGAUAAAACUUGCCUUUCCAUUAGUACAAGAUGCUGAAAAUCUUGAGGCUUUCUUCAAUAUAGCUGGCUUAGGAAGAGUAUAUGACUUGUAAGAAUCCAAUCCAGCUCCAUAGCUUUUGCAAGACUUCAUUUUCCUUUUGUAAGGUGAUUCUUUCUUAACAAGAUCCUCUAAACUUGUCACUCUUGAUAAAGAUGUAAAAGACUGUGAUUUGCCUUGAUAAAACUUGGAUAAUCCCCUCCUGCAAUAUUCAUAAAUGAAAAGUAUAAGAAUUCCACCAUCAAAUUUCAUUUCUCAUGAUAACAAGAUUAAUCAUUUUAAGUUGUAAUUCAUCAAAAGAGAUUCUUUUCUGUUGUUACUACUUUUGUUCAAUUUUACAUAAACACUAUUUUUUUAUUAUUCCGUUCCAAAACGAAUGAUUCACCAUCUCCUUACUUACAUAACAUGAACUACUUAAGGUCCAAGAUUACUUUUGUAUGUGCCAAAAAUCAAUUAUUUCUUCCUUAAAUUCGGCUCACAUAACGCAAAACGAUAAAAGUACUUACUUGAUAGGUAAUUGUGCCAUGAGAGAUGAUAAGUCAUAUAAAGCUUCAUCAGAAUUAGGUGAACAAGAAGAGGGAGAUGAAGAUGCAUCAUCUGUUGUGUCUAAUG